rnacentral:rRNA from 1 species
CCUACGGGCGGCUGCAGUGGGGAAUCUUGCGCAAUGGGCGAAAGCCUGACGCAGCGACGCCGCGUGGGUGACGAAGGCCUUCGGGUUGUAAAGCCCUGUGGGGUAGAACGAACUGGCAUCGGGCUAAUAUCCCGGUGUCUUGACGGUACUGCCUUAGCAAGCAUCGGCUAACUCUGUGCCAGCAGCCGCGGUAAGACAGAGGAUGCGAACGUUGCUCGGAUUUACUGGGCGUAAAGCGCGUGUAGGCGGUCUCGUUAGUCGGGUGUGAAAGCCCCGGGCUCAACCCGGGAAGUGCACCCGAUACUGCGAGACUGGGGUACUGAAGAGGAGAGCGGAAUUCCCGGUGUAGAGGUGAAAUUCGUAGAUAUCGGGAGGAACACCAGUGGCGAAGGCGGCUCUCUGGGCAGAUACCGACGCUGAGACGCGAAAGCGUGGGGAGCAAACAGGAUUAGAUACCCCUGUAGUC